AUUUAUUUAACAAAAAAAAAAGAUCACAUAUCCCACUAGUUUUACGCUUUUGUUUUUUCUUUUUGUUUCAAUAAAAAAUAUUUUAAAAUAAGUUGCGUUACUUAAACACAAUAACUACAUUAUAUAUUUUAUACACAGCCCUAGAGUUACUUAUACACAUUAGCUACAUUAUAUAUUUCAUAUGCAUUCCAAGACAAUUUCCCUUCAUUCAGCGUGGCCCAGGCAAGCCAAAGGUUGGACACUCGUGCCUUAGACCUUGGUCUCUUUCCUUCCCCAGAGCAGCAGCAGAACCCGUGUGCUUGCAGCUCCAUGCCAUGCCCAUUGGCUCCUACAUCAGCAUGGUGCAGUUUUGCAACUGUCUAUGCUGUUUUAAAACAAACAGCUGGAAUGGCCCAUUGAGCAAUUGACAGUUGCAACAAAAACUCACAUGAAGGUUGUGAAGGUUUCCAGCAAGCAAUUACACGUUACACUGGUGUUUCUGCCUCUCUGUUUAGACUAACUUGUAGCGGUUUAUGGGAAUUAUCUUUCCAGCAAUUUGUAGGGACUUCCAAAAUAUGUAGUUCAGCCAAAUACAAAACAGAAAUAACCACAACCAGUGAGGAAUUCCCCUACUCAUGAAUUAUAACAAAUAAAUACAAAAACCCACUAUGCGAGAAGAUGGAAGCAGAUGCAAGCAAGAGAAAACAUAAGUGAAAAUGUCAUGCUGAUUUUUCUCUCUUUGAGCUAAAUACCCACAUGAACACCUCCCUCAAACUUGUUCCUGUAAGCACAGCUGCCUGAAACAAGAGCAAUCAGGAAGAUGCAGCUUUUGAUGGCUUCUGUGGCAACUGAAAUGGGAAUCUGGAGCCUCUCAAAGUGAAGUUGCUGCUCAGUGAUGGAUACAAUCUAUGCAAAUGGCUGUGCUCCCACGUAAGACUGUGGGAUAGGCACUGGCUGCCAGCUGCGAUACAGACAAAUAGUCAUAUCAUUCAAAAAGCACAGCAGGCUGCAGAACCAGUUCAAGAUUUUCAAGGCAUUUGCACAAAGAUGUUCUAGGUGUCCGUUCACAGGUAUCUGCAUUGGCAGCCCAGCCCUCCUGCAUGGAAGUCCCACAGGCAUGAAGCAGUCAGGGCCUGAGCACUGUCCUCCCUUGCUCUCGUUCCGGAUCCAAGUUUUCACCACAUUGAAACUCUACCACUCAUGAAUGGAGACUGAAGGCACGUAUUACUUCAGAGAAUGUAGCGAAGUUCACCGUAAGUACAGGUCUGGAAAAGGCUGUUCUAACAAUCCAAUCUGCAGGCAGAAGUUUUUCUGACAGCUGCUCCAAGAGCAGCCCCUGCCCCGACGCCGCUCACC
ensembl:lncRNA